AGAGACAAGAGCCAUCUCCAGGACCACGUUUUAUUUCAAGUGAGGGCUCAAAUGCUGAUGUUCUGCUCUGUGCUAGACUUUAAGGGGACUGUCAGGAUGUCGGCUUCGGGCUUGACUGGCUGUCUGGUCGGUGUGGGCACUGGCAGUAAACUGGCCUACGCCAUUGCGCCCGAGAAGGACCGCGAGCUGGUGGACAGAGGGGAGGUGCGCCAGUUCACGCUCCGCCACUGGCUCAAGGUGUAGAGGGAGCAGAGACGAAGACCCCAGGAAGUCAUCCCGCAAUGGGAGAGACACGAACAAACCAAGGAAAUCUAAGUUUCAAGAGAAAGGAGGGCAACUUCUACUCUUCAACCUCUACUGAAAACACAAACAACAAAGCAGAAGACUCCUCUCUUCUGACUGUUUACACCUUUCCGUGCCGGGAGCGCACCUCACCGUGUCUUGUGUUGCUGUAAUAAUGACGUAGAUCUGUGCAGUGAGGUCCACCCCAUUCUCGUCUAACUUCAUGCUGCCUGUGUGAGGCUGGCUCCCUCCUUCCCUGCCGCUGGCUCCGAGGCUGCCCCAGGGGCACUGUGUUCUCAGGCGGGGAUCACGAUCCUUGUAGACGCACCUGCUGAGAAUCCCCGUGCUCACAGUAGCUUCCUAGACCAUUUACUUUGCCCAUAUUAAAAAGCCAAGUGUCCCGCUUGGUUUGGCUGUGCAGAAGGUGAAAUGGAGGAAACCACAAAUUCAUGCAAAGUCCUUUCCCGAUGCGUGGCUCCCAGCAGAGGCUGUAAAUUGAGCGUUCAGUUGACACAUUGCACACACACUGUUCAGAGGCAUUGGAGGACAGGGGUCCUGGUACGUCUCACCAGGAAAUUCUGUUUAUGUUCUUGUAGCAGAGAGAAAUAAAACUCCUUGAAACCAGCUCAGGCUACUGCCAC
rnacentral:sRNA from 1 species